CUCAGGACGAACGCUGGCGGCGUGCUUAACACAUGCAAGUCGAACGGAAAGGCCCUGCUUUUGUGGGGUGCUCGAGUGGCGAACGGGUGAGUAACACGUGAGUAACCUGCCCUUGACUUUGGGAUAACUUCAGGAAACUGGGGCUAAUACCGGAUAGGAGCUCCUGCUGCAUGGUGGGGGUUGGAAAGUUUCGGCGGUUGGGGAUGGACUCGCGGCUUAUCAGCUUGUUGGUGGGGUAGUGGCUUACCAAGGCUUUGACGGGUAGCCGGCCUGAGAGGGUGACCGGCCACAUUGGGACUGAGAUACGGCCCAGACUCCUACGGGAGGCAGCAGUGGGGAAUAUUGCACAAUGGGCGGAAGCCUGAUGCAGCAACGCCGCGUGCGGGAUGACGGCCUUCGGGUUGUAAACCGCUUUCGCCUGUGACGAAGCGUGAGUGACGGUAAUGGGUAAAGAAGCACCGGCUAACUACGUGCCAGCAGCCGCGGUGAUACGUAGGGUGCGAGCGUUGUCCGGAUUUAUUGGGCGUAAAGGGCUCGUAGGUGGUUGAUCGCGUCGGAAGUGUAAUCUUGGGGCUUAACCCUGAGCGUGCUUUCGAUACGGGUUGACUUGAGGAAGGUAGGGGAGAAUGGAAUUCCUGGUGGAGCGGUGGAAUGCGCAGAUAUCAGGAGGAACACCAGUGGCGAAGGCGGUUCUCUGGGCCUUUCCUGACGCUGAGGAGCGAAAGCGUGGGGAGCGAACAGGCUUAGAUACCCUGGUAGUCCACGCUGUAAACGGUGGGUACUAGGUGUGGGGUCCAUUCCACGGGUUCCGUGCCGUAGCUAACGCUUUAAGUACCCCGCCUGGGGAGUACGGCCGCAAGGCUAAAACUCAAAGGAAUUGACGGGGCCCCGCACAAGCGGCGGAGCAUGCGGAUUAAUUCGAUGCAACGCGUAGAACCUUACCUGGGUUUGACAUGGAUCGGGAGUGCUCAGAGAUGGGUGUGCCUCUUUUGGGGUCGGUUCACAGGUGGUGCAUGGCUGUCGUCAGCUCGUGUCGUGAGAUGUUGGGUUAAGUCCCGCAACGAGCGCAACCCUUGUUCACUGUUGCCAGCACGUUAUGGUGGGGACUCAGUGGAGACCGCCGGGGUCAACUCGGAGGAAGGUGGGGAUGACGUCAAGUCAUCAUGCCCCUUAUGUCCAGGGCUUCACGCAUGCUACAAUGGCUGGUACAGAGAGUGGCGAGCCUGUGAGGGUGAGCGAAUCUCGGAAAGCCGGUCUCAGUUCGGAUUGGGGUCUGCAACUCGACCUCAUGAAGUCGGAGUCGCUAGUAAUCGCAGAUCAGCAACGCUGCGGUGAAUACGUUCCCGGGGCUUGUACACACCGCCCGUCAAGUCAUGAAAGUUGGUAACACCCGAAGCCGGUGGCCUAACCGUUGUGGGGGAGCCGUCGAAGGUGGGACUGGUGAUUAGGACUAAGUCGUAACAAGGUAGCCGUACCGGAAGGUGCGG
rnacentral:rRNA from 2 species